rnacentral:lncRNA from 1 species
AUUGAAGUUCAAAUUCAAAUGGAAAACGAUUUUCACUUGUGUAAAUUGACAAUCACUAUCACUGGUGGACCCACAUGGGGUCAUGUGGGGUCAAAUGACCUCACAUUUUUUUGAAUUUUCUUCUUCUUUUUUUUCCUUGCUUAAAACGUAAUUUUAUGUCAAAGUAGUAAGACAACCCAAUUAAUUUCCCUAGUCCAAUGCCCAAAAAGCCCAAACUCAAAUCCUAUUGUAGUAGCAUAUGGUCUUAUUUUCGUUAAUGAUACGCUGUUCGAAAAAAUUUCAUUUUUGACCCUACAGUUCAAACUGUCUGGGUCCGUCCCUGAUCACUAUUUUGAAAGUACCUAAAUUAAUCCUAACUUUUACUUGAGCAAACUAACAACUCAAUUUAUUGAUUUUUCUUAAGGAUAAUUUAUUGAUUUUUUUAAGGACUAAACUAAGUGUUAACAAGAUCAAUAAACUCGUAUUCAACAAUAUCACCUUGAAUUAAUUAGAUGACCCAAAGUGCUAGGAUUCUCGAUUUCACCAUUUUUUUAUUUAUUUAACCUAGCCUAUAUGUUUUGACAACUUUUCAAGUGUUACUGAUAAGAACCUGUCUAAGAUAGCUGCUAUUUUGCUGAAUGUGGUUGCUUCUCCAAAUAAUUUGCUGGAAUCGGUUUGUCAACAGAGAAUGAUUGGUUGCUGUUACAUUACCUUCUAUGAUCUAUCUGUUGAUGCUGUGCUAUUUCUUUGAUAUUCCCUGCAGAGUUGCUGAUCAAUAGACUGAUUAGGUAUUAGAUGUAGUAACUGGAAUGUAUAGGAAACUGAAAAAGUGGAUUUGAUGAAAUGGAUAUAUGUAUUGAAUUGCAAAUUAUAAAACAACUGUUUAUGAAAUGAAGAAUCAAACAACAGAAAUUGAAUGACAAUUCUAAGGUAUUCAAGAGGCUUGGAGCUCUUCUAAUUGGCUCAACCAACUACUCGAUUUUUGCAUCCCAUUUUGCUCCGUCUUCUAUUACAUUUAUACUACUAUUUCUCCCCUUAUUGCCCAAACUGCCCCUGAUAUCUAUCUGGAAUUGGAACAUUCUAGAACAUGGCAUAAGUCAUAACAAACUUAAAUGAAUUCCUCCAAGGUUUUUAAUAGUUUAUAUUGAAUAAGAUCAAACCUACUUAAAUAUGAUAAUUUACA